GACGAACGCUGGCGGCGUGCUUAACACAUGCAAGUCGAACGGAAAGGCCCUGCUUUUGUGGGGUGCUCGAGUGGCGAACGGGUGAGUAACACGUGAGUAACCUGCCCUUGACUUUGGGAUAACUUCAGGAAACUGGGGCUAAUACCGGAUAGGAGCUCCUGCUGCAUUGUGGGGGUUGGAAAGUUUCGGCGGUUGGGGAUGGACGCGCGGCUUAUCAGCUUGUUGGUGGGGUAGGGGCUUACCAAGGCUUUGACGGGUCGGCGGCCUGAGAGGGUGACCGGCCACAUUGGGACUGAGAUACGGCCCAGACUCCUACGGGAGGCAGCAGUGGGGAAUAUUGCGCAAUGGGCGGAAGCCUGAUGCAGCAACGCCGCGUGCGGGAUGACGGCCUUCGGGUUGUAAACCGCUUUCGCCUGUGACGAAGCGUGAGUGACGGUAAUGGGUAAAGAAGCACCGGCUAACUACGUG
rnacentral:rRNA from 1 species